GGGGCGGACAGGUAUCGACUGGUGUUAUUUGAUAAUAAAGUGCAACGGAGUUUGAGUAAAACUCGCUACAAAAGACUCACAAACCUAAAUAGCGAUAAUUCGCUUGAAGGGUUGGUAAUUGAUUGGCAAUUUGCCAAUACAGAACGGAUGUUUGACAAUUUUGUUGAACCCGUGAUGGAUUAUCAACCGACUUACGCUUUCGCAUAAGUCUCUGAGUUGUCUAACACUCGGACAUAAAAAAAGUUAGACGAUCACUCGUUCAUAGAUUAGAGUUUAAAUAAAUCUGUCAGUUAAAUCAAUCUGAGUAAAUUGGUCUAUGGUGGGUUUGUUGGUUAACUACCGGAUUUGGAAACCAACUAAGUUGUGUAUGACUUUAUAUUUGAAAACAGACAGGACGGGGAUUCGAAUUCCCCCCGCUCCACAA
rnacentral:tmRNA from 1 species